rnacentral:rRNA from 1 species
UUCUAGGUAAAAUAAUGAUGAUGACAAUUUUUACCUAUAUGUCUUGACCAAAUCUCGUGCCAGCAGUCGCGGUAAUACGUGGAAGACUAGUGUUAUUCAUCUUUAAUAGGUUUAAAGGGUACCUAGACGGUAAAUUUAGCCCAAAAAGGGUACGGAUUUACUAGAGUKUUAUGUGAGGAGGGGAGUACUUGUAGAGUAGAGAUGAAAUUUUUUGAUACUAUAAGGAAACUGGUAACGGCGAAAGCAACCUUCUAUGUAUAAACUGACGUUGAGGGACGAAGGCUUGGGUAGCAAACAGGAUUAGAUACCCUAGUAGUCCAAGCAGACAAUUCUGAAUGUCAUAGAUUAGAUUUUUUUGGUCUAUAAAUGAUAGAUUAGAUUUUUUUUGGUCUAUAAAUGAAAGUGCAAGCAUUCCACCUUAAGAGUAAUGUGGCAACACAGGAAUUGAAAUCAUUAGACCGUUUCUGAAACCAGUAGUGAAGUAUGUUGUUUAAUUCGAUAAUCCACGAAAAACCUUACCACAACUUGAAUAUUAUUAAUUUAAUACAAGCGUUGCACGGCUGUCUUCAGUUAAUGUCGUGAGAUUUUGGUUAACUCCAUUAAAUUAACGUA